rnacentral:siRNA from 1 species
UGCUCGAUGAUCCAAAACGGUUAU